rnacentral:rRNA from 1 species
AUACGGAGGGUGCAAGCGUUGUUCGGAAUCACUGGGCGUAAAGGGCGCGCAGGCGGUUUUACAAGUCAGAUGUGAAAGCCCACGGCUCAACCGUGGAAGUGCAUUUGAAACUGUAAGACUUGAGUAUCAGAGGGGAAGGUGGAAUUCCCGGUGUAGAGGUGAAAUUCGUAGAUAUCGGGAGGAAUACCGGUGGCGAAGGCGACUUUCUGGCUGAAUACUGACGCUGAGGCGCGAAAGCGUGGGGAGCAAACAGGAUUAGAUACCCUAGUAGUCC